rnacentral:rRNA from 1 species
UACGUAGGGGGCGAGCGUUGUCCGGAUUUAUUGGGCGUAAAGAGCUCGUAGGCGGUUCCGCAAGUCGGAUAUGAAAUCUCCACGCUCAACGUGGAGGGGUUAUUCGAUACUGCGGUGACUAGAGUCCGGUAGGGGAGUGUGGAAUUCCCGGUGUAGCGGUGAAAUGCGCAGAGAUCGGGAGGAACACCAGUGGCGAAGGCGGCUCACUGGUCCAUUACUGACGCUGAGGUGCGAAAGCGUGGGGAGCAAACAGG